rnacentral:rRNA from 1 species
UGUCUUUUUGAAAAUAAUAUAAAGUCUAAUCUGCCCACUGAUAAGUAUUGAAGGGCUGCAGUAUAUUGACUGUACAAAGGUAGCAUAAUCAUUAGUCAUUUAAUUGAUGACUUGUAUGAAGGAUUGGAUGAAAUAUAGACUGUCUCUUAGUUAUAAAUAGAAUUUAAUUUUUUUAUUAAAAAGUUAAGAUAAUUUAAAAAGACGAGAAGACCCUAUAGAGUUUUAUAAUUAAAUUAAUUAAUAUUAUUUAUUAAAUUAAAGUUAAAAUUAGUUUAUUUAUUAUAUUGGGGUGAUAAAAAAAUAAAUAUAACUUUUUUUAAAAUAAAAACAUUUAUAAGUGAUUAAUUGAUCCAAUAUUAUUGAUUAUAAGAAAAAAUUACCUUAGGGAUAACAGCGUAAUUUUUUUUUUUAGUUCAUAUAAGAAAAAGAGUUUGCGACCUCGAUGUUGGAUUAAGAUAAAAUUUAAAUGCAGAAG